CACGUAGGGCGCAAGCGUUGUCCGGAAUUAUUGGGCGUAAAGAGCUCGUAGGCGGUCUGUUGCGUCCGCUGUGAAAACUCGGGGCUUAACCCCGAGCCUGCAGUGGAUACGGGCAGACUAGAGGUAGGUAGGGGAGAAUGGAAUUCCCGGUGUAGCGGUGAAAUGCGCAGAUAUCGGGAGGAACACCGGUGGUGUAGACGGCUUUCUGGACCGUAACUGACGCUGAAACACGAAAGCGUGGGUAGCAAACAGG
rnacentral:rRNA from 1 species